GCCAGGGUCUUAGAGAAAACGAAAGACAAAGGAACCAUCUUCUUCCUUGAGGUCAACAAUGGAAGGAGACGUAGAAGACACCAAAACAAGAACUUGGCAGGCUCAGGACAUGACAACGGAGGUGUAAGUUUGUUCCCAACAUACCAGACAGAGAGCAACUCUCACCAGAGAAGAUCCCAAUGUGUUUUAUGCUAGAUCUGACUUUAAUUAAGUGUAGACAAUGCUCCCAUCAGUGCUGGAACUGGCCCCGGUAACUUGCUUUAGCUGAUGGAAUGUUACCAAACACAACAUGAUCAAAGGCUUGAGAGAUGAUUUCCCUCCUGUGCUUCCGCAAUUACCAUGAAAAGAACAUGGCCUGGUGGUCCCUGAUCCCCAAAGAAUGACGGACACCUGGAAAAAGCUUGGAGUAACAGAUUCAUGAGCAAGAAUAAAUAAUUAUUGUUUUAAU
rnacentral:lncRNA from 1 species